ACCAAAAUAGUACGAAUCCAACUCAUUCAUGGGACUUUAUCUAUCAGCCUUUUAGAAUUUCGAACAUGUCCCUCAUAAUUUCCAUCCCACAUCACUAAAAAACAACAAUUCAACUCAAAAAUAUUUUCUGUAUAUAUUCCUAUUAUUUUCACUGAAAGGUGGGGAAGUUCGGAUAGCGAGAACCCCAAGAAAGCAUAGGAUUUUGCUAUCUGAAGAAGGAUUUCGGUGCUGAGAAAUUCGAUAAGGCUUGUUUUGAGCUCGAAUAUAUAGGAUAAGAAUCCAAGUUCAUUUCGGUGAUGGUAGAGAGAUUCUGACAAAGCCUGUAGUCCGGUUUUCUGCUUGCAAAGAGGUUCGGAGGCUCAAUUUCUUGAUCGCAGUUGGACAGCCUAAUAUUACCUAGUAGCUAUAGUGGUACUGAGGCACAGUCUAGUGGUCCAGAUCCUCAGUAGAGUCUACAGAUAGGGUUGUCUCAGAGUUCAGUUGGUGAGCCUUCUUUGCUUCGGAAGGCCUAGUCAUUUAGGUAUUUAUUUCAGUAUGAUUUUUGGUCUGCUGGGGGCCUUGUCCCAGUUAUUCAGAUAGUAUGUCAGUAGAGAUUUCGCAGACUGUUGCAGAUGUUUAUUAAAUAUUGUUGGGCAUGUUUUCAGGCCUUUAACUAUUUUAAAUUGUUGACCAUAUUUUCGUAUUAUUAUGUCUAAUCCGUAUUACUUUGAUUA